GACUACGGGAUGAGCGUUUUCCACGGAAGUGACACCUAAGAUGACUUUCACGGCUGCACCCAAUCGCACUGUUUCCACGGAAGUGACACCUAAGGUGACUUUCACGGCUGCACCCAAUUGCACUGUCACUGUGCUGGUUUGUGUCACCGCUGCUGCUAUACCCUGCCUUCUCCGGUGUCUGGAUGGACCGCGUUUCCCGGGGACUGGGUUUCCUGGAGACCAGAAAUUAAAAUAAAAGAGGAUCUCCCUGGAGUGCCUGGCAGAUGGCAAGCCAAGCACUCAGGCAGGUGAGACUUGCCAUGCCUGCCUGAGUCCUGUGUCCAGGGUUCGGAGCUAUUUCUGUGUUUUGAAGCACUGUUGUUCCUGACAACUACGGUUCACAAAUGACUUGUGUCCAGCCUUUCUCAGAAAUCUAGCCCUGGUCACGGGGAGGCCGAUCCGGAGGAGAGACGGAGCUUGAGAAAGUGUGGGCUCUGUGCAGAAACCACCGCAACCAAGAAACUCAGCCUGUGCUUCCCUCAUCAUCAGUUUAUUCUGAAAUAGACUACUGUUGACCAUGACGGAAACUUCCUGCUACUAAAAGAAGUGACGUGUUUGUCUGAGGAGUGAAACAAAGCUGACCCAGCUGGGUGGCCUGGGGCAGUAUUGACCAUGACUGAUGACGACUCAGCUUUUCACUGUCCCAGAGCAGCAGAAUUGAGCCUUACCUGUAAGGUUUUUGCAACCACCUGAGAGGGUGGAGGAAAGGACUGCCCUGUCCCACUCCGGCCUAGCUGUUGGAGACCCAUGGCCUGCCUCACUGUUCACACAGGCAAAGCCAAGGUCCCUCCCCAGUGACCUUAGGGGACGCUCUGAAACUGGGGAGAUCCUAGAACAAACUGUAGGAGCCUGUAGGAAUG
rnacentral:lncRNA from 1 species